GAUGACAGACAUAAUAAGUAAAUUAUAUAUCUGAGCUCAGAAGCUAGCAAGGUCAGGUCUGGUUAGUACUUGGAUGGGAGACAGCCUGGGAAUACUGGCUGCUGUAGGCU
rnacentral:rRNA from 14 species